rnacentral:rRNA from 1 species
UACUAUGGCCAGACCACGUUGUCAAAGCCUGAUCUUGUCUGAUUUCUGAAGCAGGGCUCGGGCUGGUUAGUACUUGUAUGGGAGACUGUUGGAAAUAUCAGGUGCCACAUUCC